rnacentral:rRNA from 1 species
UACAGAGGUGGCAAGCGUUGUUCGGAAUUACUGGGCGUAAAGGGCGCGUAGGCGGCCAUCUAAGUCAGACGUGAAAUCCCCCGGCUUAACCUGGGAACUGCGUCUGAUACUACAAGGCUGGAGUGCGGGAGAGGGAUGUGGAAUUCCAGGUGUAGCGGUGAAAUGCGUAGAUAUCUGGAGGAACACCGGUGGCGAAGGCGGCAUCCUGGACCGACACUGACGCUGAUGCGCGAAAGCUAGGGGAGCAAACGGG